UGUUGGACACACAUCUGGUACUGUUAAGC
rnacentral:piRNA from 1 species